rnacentral:rRNA from 1 species
GACGAACGCUGGCGGCGUGCUUAACACAUGCAAGUCGAACGGAAAGGCCCUGCUUUUGUGGGGUGCUCGAGUGGCGAACGGGUGAGUAACACGUGAGUAACCUGCCCUUGACUUUGGGAUAACUUCAGGAAACUGGGGCUAAUACCGGAUAGGAGCUCCUGCUGCAUGGUGGGGGUUGGAAAGUUUCGACGGUUGGGGUUGGACUCGCGGCUUAUCAGCUUGUUGGUGGGGUAGUGGCUUACCAAGGCUUUGACGGGUAGCCGGCCUGAGAGGGUGACCGGCCACAUUGGGACUGAGAUACGGCCCAGACUCCUACGGGAGGCAGCAGUGGGGAAUAUUGCACAAUGGGCGGAAGCCUGAUGCAGCAACGCCGCGUGCGGGAUGACGGCCUUCGGGUUGUAAACCGCUUUCGCCUGUGACGAAGCGUGAGUGACGGUAAUGGGUAAAGAAGCACCGGCUAACUACGUG